AGAGUCUGAUCCUGGCUCAGGAUGAACGCUGGCGGCGUGCUUAACACAUGCAAGUCGAACGAACCUUCGGGUUAGUGGCGGACGGGUGAGUAACGCGUGAGAAUCUGCCCUCAGGAGGGGGAUAACGGCUGGAAACGGCCGCUAAUACCCCAUAUGCCGAGAGGUGAAAUGAAUUUCGCCUGAGGAUGAGCUCGCGUCUGAUUAGCUAGUUGGUGUGGUAAAGGCUCACCAAGGCAUCGAUCAGUAGCUGGUCUGAGAGGAUGAUCAGCCACACUGGGACUGAGACACGGCCCAGACUCCUACGGGAGGCAGCAGUGGGGAAUUUUCCGCAAUGGGCGCAAGCCUGACGGAGCAACGCCGCGUGAGGGAUGAAGGCCUCUGGGCUGUAAACCUCUUUUAUCAAGGAAGAAGAUCUGACGGUACUUGAUGAAUAAGCCACGGCUAAUUCCGUGCCAGCAGCCGCGGUAAUACGGGAGUGGCAAGCGUUAUCCGGAAUUAUUGGGCGUAAAGCGUCCGCAGGCGGUCUUGAAAGUCUGUUGUUAAAGCGUGGAGCUCAACUCCAUUUCAGCAAUGGAAACUAGAAGACUAGAGUGUGGUAGGGGCAGAGGGAAUUCCCGGUGUAGCGGUGAAAUGCGUAGAUAUCGGGAAGAACACCAGUGGCGAAGGCGCUCUGCUGGGCCAUAACUGACGCUCAUGGACGAAAGCCAGGGGAGCGAAAGGGAUUAGAUACCCCUGUAGUCCUGGCCGUAAACGAUGAACACUAGGUGUCGGGGGAAUCGACCCCCUCGGUGUCGUAGCCAACGCGUUAAGUGUUCCGCCUGGGGAGUACGCACGCAAGUGUGAAACUCAAAGGAAUUGACGGGGCCCGCACAAGCGGUGGAGUAUGUGGUUUAAUUCGAUGCAACGCGAAGAACCUUACCAGGGUUUGACAUCCUGCGAAUCCCUUGGAAACUUGGGAGUGCCUUCGGGAGCGCAGUGACAGGUGGUGCAUGGCUGUCGUCAGCUCGUGUCGUGAGAUGUUGGGUUAAGUCCCGCAACGAGCGCAACCCACGUCUUUAGUUGCCAGCAUUAAGUUGGGCACUCUAGAGAGACUGCCGGUGAUAAACCGGAGGAAGGUGUGGAUGACGUCAAGUCAUCAUGCCCCUUACAUCCUGGGCUACACACGUACUACAAUGCUACGGACAAAGGGCAGCAAACUCGCGAGAGCUAGCAAAUCCCAUAAACCGUGGCUCAGUUCAGAUCGUAGGCUGCAACUCGCCUACGUGAA
rnacentral:rRNA from 1 species